CUUUGGCCACUCUUGAACUCCGUGCAGUGCUAGUCCCAAACCGGACACAGAGAUGAGAGAGAGGCACUGAACGCAGAACAGCGUUGCCGUUUUGAAGGACGCAAAACGACGAAGCAAAACGCGUUUGGAAGAGCACCUUAACUGACAACUGUACCAGUGGAAAAUCAACGACGAUUUUAUUCAGCAGCUCGCUGAAGCAGUGAGCCGAAGCACCGUGUGUAGAAGAACCGAAUGGGAAAAUCGACCAACGGUAAGAGAGACUGGAU
rnacentral:sRNA from 1 species